ACGAUUUAGUGACUGAGUGGCGGACGGGUGAGUAACGCGUGGGUAACCUGCCUUUCAGAGGGGAACAACAGUUAGAAAUGACUGCUAAUACCGCAUAUGCCUUGAGUAUCACAUGGUACAAAAGGGAAAGGAGCAAUCCGCUGAUAGAUGGGCUUGCGUCUGAUUAGAUAGUUGGUGAGGUAACGGCCUACCAAGGCGAUGAUCAGUAGCCGGACUGAGAGGUUGACCGGCCACAUUGGGACUGAGAUACGGCCCAGACUCC
rnacentral:rRNA from 1 species